UGUAGUCGGCGGGAAAGGAAAGGAAAGGCUCAUCCAAUCAAUCUUUACAAGCAAAGAUACUAGAUUCUAUGAUCUUUGGUUAGAAGACAACAAACUUGAGUUGGCAACAGUAAUGCAGCGUUCCAAUUCUCUGCACGGGGAAAUGUAAACAUUUUUGAUGAUUACAACGUUAUCUGCAAUGGCACAGAAAGCGCCAAUUUGUCCCUUGGAUUUAUGAGGCUUGCAAGGGAACAAUUCCAUAAGUUCCAUGCCUUCCCUUAUUUGUACUGGUAUAUUAUUGUCACAUGUACCAGGGUACUUGGAAAAGCUAAGCGUGCUUGAUUAUUUUUUUGCCAUUAACCUACACCACUACAUAAAUUAGUGUAGCCAAUUCUGAGCAUGUCUUUGGCAUAUGGGAGGGAACUGGAAACCUACACAAUCACAGAAAGUGCAGAUUAAUUCGUGACAGCAGUUGGAAUUGAACCUGUGUUCCUGCAGGUCUGAGGCUACAACACUCAAAGACACACCACUAUAGGGAGGUUUCACGACCCAUGACCCGUACUGUUGCUACGCUACUCCAAAUGGAUUACACGCGAUGUACUGCAGAUUUUCUCACCCAUCCCUUGCAAACUGUGUGAAGGAGUGGGAGGCUUCGCAUUUAAUUAACAGGAUGACAGCUGGCAUCAUGAUGUUCCUGUCAUGGCCCACAUCUAUCUUUAUAGCAGCUGUCAAGGUGGUCAGACCUAUAGAACAAGUGUUUUAUGGGCUCUCACAAUCCAUGUAAUAAAGCAAGCAACUCGUGCCAACUGGCUGUGAUUAUCCUGUUGAAUGCCAACUCAGAAUUGAGAGCCAGAACUCAGAGCUUCCUCUCGUGGGAACGUCUGGUAUCAGGCUUGACCUUUUGACUUAGAGUCUGAAAUGAUUGGAUGGAUUUUCUACCUUCCCUUAUUACUGGGCAUAUACAGUACAUCCAAAUUAUUGUAGAAUUCAAAUUCUUCAUGGAAAAAAUGACAUUUGAAUAAUCGGAAUAAAUCAUAUUUUCCCUUA